rnacentral:lncRNA from 1 species
CCUGUGGUAGGUGAGCUGGGUAGGAGCUGAUCUUCGGGGCACCGGGGAGUUGAGGGGAGCUGAGCUGAGUUAGGGGUUAAAGGAGACCUGCAGAUGGCUUCAGCUUCCUCCACGCUGGACGGAGGCUCUUCCCCCACCCCCUAUCCCACCACUAAAACGCAGAUGGAGUUCUGAAUGGAGACCGUAACAAGGAAAAGAAAGACCCGUAUUUUGUGGAAACCCCGUACGGUUUUCAGCUAGACUUAGAUUUCGUCAAGUACGUGGAUGACAUACAGAAGGGAAACACCAUCAAGAAACUAAACAUCCAGAAGAGGCGAAAGCCAUCCGGGCCAUGUGCAGAAGUCAGGGCCAUACCCGGUCCUCAAGGUGUGUGGACUUCCACUGAGUCCCUGUCAUCCUCCAACAGUGAUGACAGCAAGCAGUGUCCCAGCUUCCUCCUAGCCAGAAGCCACGUCACGUCGACCCCAAUCCCACGGCCACCUGCCC